rnacentral:rRNA from 1 species
AUGCUCAAGGUCCAGGGCUACUCGCGACUCGAGACUAUGCACGGCGGCAACGGCAGCUACGUGGAGUCCAACGCGUUCAAGGCAGCAGGCCACACCUGGAUGUUCCGUUGCUACCUCGACGGGGCGCGCCCGGAGGACGCCGGCUUCAUCUCGCUGUUCCUCAAGGUUGCCUCCACCGACAACGCCCCCGCCGCCGAUGCUACCACCGGCAACGCCCUCGCCGCCGAUGCCACCACCAGCAACGCCGCCGCCACCGGCAACGCCCCCGUCGAUGCCGCCACCGCUGAGAGCGUCGUCCACGCCGAGUACGAGUUGGCCCUGGUGCACCACCGAGGCACGCUGGUAAAGUGGCCGUCACGCCGCGUGCGGGGGUGCGCCUCCGCCUUUCACUCGAGCAACAUGUGGGGCUUCCCGCAGUUCAUCAGCAAGAAGGACCUUGAGGGCUCCAGGUUCCUCAAGCACGACUGUUUCGCCGUCCGGUGCAAGGUCACCGUGGUCCAGGAGUGGAGCAUCAAGGAAGAGGACGCGAGGCCCCCUGGCCCUGGGAACGGCGUUUGCUUGGUUUCUCUCUAG